UUUUUUUUAUGUAAUCCAUGGUUAGCUUUCAUUGAAGCUUCCACCUUCUCCGUUACCAAAACUCAGAAUCUUCAUCCUCGGUGUCUUGUGUCUCUCGUUCAUUUAGUUUUUUUAUUUUCAGUUGAUUUUAUAAUUAUUUCUUGGUCUCCAUUAAAAAGCUCCUCUUCCUAUCCUCUUCCUCUUCAUCUCCUCCUUCUCCCCCUCUCCUUCGCUCUCUCUCUCUCUCUCUUUCUCUCUCUCUCUCUAUAGACUAUUUAUUAUUUUUUAUUGCCAUUAAAGCUCCUCUUCUCAAGUUUUUCUUCUCUCUCUCUCGCGUCUCUUAUCUUCGUCAUUAAAGCAUUCUUUGGACCUUUUUUCCUCUCUUACUCUCCCUAAAAGCUAUUUAUUUUCUCCAUAAAAUCUUACUUAUCUUUCUUUCUUCUUCUCCUUCUUUUUCUCUCUGGGGAUCCAUGCUGCAGGGAAGAAGUGGUGCUUUGGAUAGAAAAGCGACACCUUUGAGGGAGAUCUGAAUGCGAGAGGGUUAGAGAGGGGAGAGCCUGAAAGGAGAGGGGGAGGGAUCAAAACCCUAGCUUUGUUGGAGGACUGGAGCUCCCGGUGCGAUGAAGUCGGAGGCUCGGUUAGAUUCGGCAGUAUUCCAACUCACGCCUACUCGUACGAGGUGUGAUUUGGUUAUUGUUGCAAAUGGCAAGACUGAGAAGAUUGCAUCUGGGUUAUUGAACCCCUUUCUCGCACAUUUGAAGACUGCCCAGGAUCAAAUUGCCAAGGGGGGCUACUCUAUUACACUUGAACCAGACCCUAAAAUUGAUGCAGUAUGGUUUACCAAGGGCACUGUCGAGAGGUUUGUUCGUUUUGUGAGCACACCCGAGGUUCUGGAGCGGGUGACCACCAUAGAGUCUGAGAUCUUGCAGAUUGAGGAGGCAAUUGCUAUCCAGAGCAAUGACAAUCUUGGCUUGAGCACCGUGGAAGAUCAUCAAACAAAACCUUUAGAGUGCAUCGAAGGGAGCAAGUCCACAUCUGAUGCUGAUACAGAAAAGGCUAUAGUUCUUUACAAGCCUGGGUCACAACCACAUCCAUCAGAUUCAAAUGGAUCAACAACACAGGAGGAGAAUUCAAAAGUUCAACUCUUGAGAGUACUUGAGAGCCGGAAAAUUGUAUUGCAGAAAGAACAGGGCAUGGCCUUUGCACGGGCUGUAGCUGCUGGUUUUGACAUGGAUCACAUGGCACAAUUGAUAUCAUUUGCAGAGAGCUUUGGUGCAUCACGUUUAAUGGAGGCGUGCUUAAGAUUUAUGGAGUUAUGGAAGAGAAAGCAUGAAACUGGACAAUGGGUCGAAGUUGAGGUUGCAGAAGCAAUGUCCGUCCGAUCUGAAUUUUCUUCUUUGAAUGCCUCAGGGAUUAUACUCUCUGGAGAUUCUAGGAGACAUAAAGAAUAUGGGGAAGCAUGGCCUGUCUCUGGAGGGGAUAUGGGCACUGAGAGCAAUGGGACAACUGAUAGGAAGAUUCCACCAGAUCCGCAGGUUCCUUCGGGACCCCAUGAGUAUUAUCAAGGGCAAUUUCAGCAUCCUGCACAUCCCCCAUGGCCUAUGCACUCCCUACCAGGUCCACACGUCUUUCAGCCUUAUCCUAUGCAAGGCAUGCCGUAUUAUCAGAAUUAUCCAGGAGGUGGUGCAUAUUUCCAUCCUCCAUAUCCUCCAAUGGAGGAUCCUAGAUUCAGCACGCCUCAAAAAAUGCGACAGAAGUGGCAUUCUAUGGAUAGUAAAGAUAGCAAUAUUGAGUCGGAGGCGUCAGAAAUGGGUGGUUCUGGUACAAGAUCACAGGAUGGUACAUAUCAAGAUAUGUCAGAGUUUGAGAAAGAAGGUUCUCAUGGUCAUGAAUCACGUAAAAGGGUGGGCCAUUCAGGAAAGAAGAAGUCUGGUAUGGUUGUCAUUCGGAACAUAAAUUACAUCACAUCAAAAAGGCAUGAAACAUCAGGAAGUGAAUCAGAAUCAGCUUCUGAUACUGAAACUGAAGAGGAAAACAAAGACAUGUCUGAUGCCCAUGAUAGAAAGCAUAGGAGUUCCUCAAGAACUUCAAAGACGGAUGCAGUUCGCCCGAAAUCUAUAGAAUUUUCAGAUGCCUAUGCCAAGGAUGAAUUCACCAAUGUACAGGAGGCAGAUUCUGGAAAUUGGCAAGCAUUUCAGAGUUUCUUACUGAGAGCUGAAGAGAAAUCAAGAACUGCUGAUGUGGACAUCUUUGCUGGUGAAAAAAAGCCUCCAGUAAAGAGAAAACAAAAUAAUGGUGAAGAUGAUCCUAUCCUUCCUCCCGAAAGAUAUUCUGGUAAUGUUCAGGAACGGAGGAUGAUAGGGUUAGAUUCACUUAGUGGUAAGGCAAGCCGGAUGAAGCAGAUGGCUUCAAAUGAUGAAUUAUUGAUUUCAGGUGAAGGAAGAGGCGUAAUAGAUAGCCAGCUUAAGGAAAUAGAAGGGGGGAGGGGAGGGUAUAAGAGUUUGACCAGUGAUGAAUUCAUGAUUUAUGGACGAGAUAAGCAAGUGGACAGUAAGAAUUCUUCAGACCCACUUGUUGAUCAGCAAUAUGAACAUGAUAAAAAUUUGGAUAAGAAAUCCUUAUAUAAUGUCAUGGAUGAGUCCUUUGUUGUUCCAUUUAGGUCAGGCUCACAAGAUCAACUUGGACCAGAUGGCAGAACUGCCAUUGACAUAUAUUCUGAAUUCCCUCCAGCUCUGCGGAGAACUGAGGAUUCUUCUAGUAAGGCUAAAAAUCAAAUCACUUAUGAACCAGAUGAUUUGACCUUACUGCCUGAACGUGGCAUGGAGAGCGUAUCCAUUGGUUAUGAUCCUGCUAAAGACUAUGACAUCCAGAUUCCUGUUAAAAAUGCUGUCGAAGUGGAAAUCGGAAACCAUGAGGAUGUCCCAACGAGCACCAAAGAAGAGUUGAAAAAUUCAGACAAGGACAAAAAGUUAAAGGUUUCACAGAAUGGAUCAGAGAAAAAGAAAAAAGAUGCUCUGAUGAGGAAAGGGACAUUGGCAAAGAUGAAUUCGUUGGUUGAAGCACAAAAACGUGCAGAGAAGCUGCGGGCCUCCAAAGCUGAUCUUCAGAAAGCAAAGAAAGAGAGGGAAGAGGAAGAGAGAAAGCGGUUGGAAGCUUUGAAAAGAGAACGACAAAAGAGAAUUGCUGCAAGGAGUGGUACAAAUGCCACUCAAAAGCCAUUGAUCUCACAACAGACCAAAGCCCAAUUACCAACAAAGCUUUCUCCAAGUUCUUACAGAGGAUCAAAGUUUAGUGACUCAGAGCCUGGAUCUUCUUCACCAUUACAAAAACUGCCAACCAGAACCACUUCAGUUGGGUCCAAUGAUUCUCAAAAAAUCACAAGAACUGGUAAAUUAAAUGGCAGUAGUCAUGGAUUAAGUCGAUCAGCAUCAUCAUUGCCCGAGAUUAAGAAAGAAAAUAGUAAUUCCAGACCAGAAGCAAAGACAGCUUCCAUUCAAAAUAGAAGGCUUUCCGAUCCCAAAGGUACUAAAGUUCAGCGUGCUUCUCCACUACAAUCUGUUUCCAGAGAUCAAAUACCGAAGAGAGGCAUGACUGAUGAGUCACAAAAAGAGAUUUCUGCAAUAAUCCAACUAGACAAAAGCAAGUCAGCAACUUUGCCAGAGCUGAAGAUUAGAACAUCAAAAGGCCCUUCCAAUACAGUCCAAAACAAGUCAGCUGCUAAAGUGACAUCGCAGAAAGGAGUGGGAAGCAAAACUUCUCAAGCUUCUGUAACCACCAAAGCAAAAAGGACUGAUGAUAAGACAUCAAGACUUAGCAACAUUGAUGACAACCUAGUGAUUGAGAAGACUGUUGUGAUGCUUGAAAAUGAGGUUGUUCCAGCUCCUGCUGUUCAAGCAUCUGAAGUGAUGAUAGGCAUAAAUGAUAGAACAUAUGGAGCUGAUAAAAUAGGGAACACUGGGCUGGAUUCAGAAUAUGCAGCUAUCCGUGCUCCACCUUCACCCAUUAUUGUAGGUGAAAUUGAAAAUUCUGCUGAACAUAAACUUGAUGACGAGCUGAAUUCCUAUGAGGUGGUAAUUGAUUACUCAAAGGAGGAGCCUCAGAAGUUCUCAAACACUACAGCCAUAGAAAAGCCUUAUCAAGCUCCCUAUGCCAGAACAACAUCCUUAGAGGAUCCCACUGCCAGUAAUGUAGAAUAUGCUCAAUUACCACAUGUUCUAAACUCCGAAAUGGCUACAAUGCACAGCAAGAGUAUCAAGGCACGUGUGCCCAAUUUUGCCAUGGGCUCGAAUUUUGUUGAUCAUACAAAUGAGUCACGUGAGAAGCCUCGGAGCAAAGAAACUAAAGGUUUUAGGAAGUUACUAAACUUUGGAAGGAAGAACCACAACUCAGCAACAGGUGAGGGUAACCAAGAGUCAGAUGCAUCAUCUGUUGAUGAGCAAACUUUAGCUGCUGCUUCAUCGAAUGAUGCUUGCUUGGAAAUUGCAGCACUGCAGGCCUGAAGUCAUACAAUUCAGUGUAGCAUAAAUUUCAUAUGCUGAAGAAUCUAAUUUCUCAAGAUGAUAGCCAUGCUGGAGGCACUUCCGCCAAAGUGUCUCGCCCCUUCUCCAUUCUUUCACCCUUCCGCAGCAAGAGCAGUGACAAGAAGGUGUCUGCAUGAUAAGCCGAUUGCUGCAAUUCAUACAAGGUAAGAUGUAUCUGCUAUUCAAAUACAGCCGAGAGGUUGUUGGUUGAUGCGUGAUUUGCCAUUUUCUUGUAAACAAUAAUGUAUAAUGUGUUUGCCAAAAUUCGUUUCUUUUUGUUGAUAUCGGUUUGUGAUGAUCUUAUUCUCUGCACAACUAUUCUAUUGGAUGGUUAAAACAAAGCUUCAUGCCUGAUAGCACGUGAA